CUUCUCUCAGCACAAGAUCUCUCUCACCGAAAAUCUCCUCUCUCAGCCCCGGAUCUCGACAUCCUCAUCGACCACGUCGAGUCUCAAUCUCUCCAGAUCCGAUCACAGAGGUACGAUCCUACCUCGCCUCUCACGACGACGACUUCACAAACCUCUUUUCCCUCUGCAAUGACGCCCAAAUUCCUUGUUCGCGAGCCAGGAUUCUCGGAUUCCCCUGAGAUUAUGAUUCCUCCUCUUUUACUGAGCUUUGAGUCUUUGAAUCGUCGAACCCUAAUCCCUAAUCUGGCAUUCAGCUUCCAAUCGCCGCAGCAAAAUGAGACCACCACAAACCCUAAUUUGGCGCUUCAGCCUCCAACUUAGGCUCGAUCAUCUAUACGAUCAAAGAAAUGCUACUAAAAGGAUGAUGAAUGCUUUAGCAAAAGGAAUUUCUUUACAACCAUAUAUGGUAGCUGAAGGCAUUGCUGUGAUACAGAGGCUGUAACAGCUUAAUAGAGAAAAGUUCAAAAGGUUGAUGGCAAAUUGGACAAGCCAAUUGCUACAAAAAAAAUUGGGCAACAAAAAACUAUGGAAGUUAACUAUGGAAGUUUUUGCACAUGGAGAUAAAGAAGUUGCACAAGGAAUGAUGAAGAAAUUAACUCAUGAAUCUACCAGAGAAUAAUAGAGAGAAAAUUCAAAAGGUGGAAAUAGCAAUUGCAAUGAAAGUUCGUAUUCAUCAACACAUGCUCCAUGUCUUGGAAAGGACAAUUAAUUUAUAAAAAAUUGAAAGAGAAGACAAAAAAAUAUGUGGCUAAACGGCUGAUUGGAACAAAGAAAAGCAACCAGAAAAUUUGUGAUGCAGUUGUUGUCUUUGUUGGUGAAGUAGCACAUAUUGAUGUAACAUGGAUUUGAUCUAAUCCAAAGCUAAGAUCCAUGAUCUAUACUUAACUUCAAAUUCUCAUCUUAGUAAAUAGAGUUAAAGGAUUGAUCAAUUUAGCUACUGUUCUAGUUGAUAAUAGAAAUGAUUGAUCAAGUAAAGAUUGCCAUUUUAUAUUUAUUUUGUUGUUAAUAGUUAUAUUGUAACCAAUACUUGGUGUGAAUAUAUUACUUGAAUAUAUGAUAUGAAUUUUUUUUA